CUUAUUUUCAGAUUUUCGAAGAUCUAAGGAAGGGCCAUGUCUCGGAUAUAUUUGAUGACAAAGAAAAAAUUCUCCUACAGAAAUUAGUUGCAACUGACCCCAAGAUGCGACCUAAAACAUCUGAAAUACUGAAGACUUUGAAGGAGUGGAAUAAUGUUCCAAAGAAAAAAAGGCGAAACACAUAUUAGUGCCUUUCUAAAAAAGUAGUCUGCUUCUGAUGUUUGAUUUUCCUGUAAUUGUCUAAAAUCUGCUGGGGAAUAUUGAUGAUAUUUACCUGUUAUUUUCAUUUUUCCCUUAAUUUUUUAAUACAUUAGCAUAAAGGUUUACACCUUUU